rnacentral:lncRNA from 1 species
UUAAUAGAUAUGAAUAUGGAUAUUAGUCGGAUCCUCAAAUUUUUAUGCAUACUUAGAUUGAUUCGGAUAUGAAAACAGAUUCCGACAAAUAAUAUCCAUACCACUUUCACCCCUAUAUAACAUUAUCCCAUGCAAAUGUAAUCUAUGACUUGAUAGAGGCCUCGAAAUGUAGUCAUUCUUAAAAUCUAGCACUUGUUACAUAUGACCUAGAGAAAUCUAUAGUCCAAAUUUCAGAUAAUAAUUUUAAGCAUCUAAAUUUAAAGUAUUUACCAGAAGUUCUCUCUUUUUUGGGCAAAAGUGCGGCGACCUGUUCCGUUUCAUCAAAAUUAAAAGAAACAAAAUCCCACACCUAAUAUGAAGAUCCCAACUACCUUUGGAAAUUUAAAAGGAAAAUUGAAGAAACCAGUUAUCAAGUAGAUAAUCUAAGAUGAGAACAAAUGGCCAGGAAAAAUAAAACACUGACUUUAAAAGCACAUGAGAAUAGUACUAUCUCUUGUAUGCUUUUUACGAAGAAAUGGAGCAGAUGGGACUUUGUGAAUGAGAAGCAAGGUGACGAGAAGAAUCAAAUAUUGGAGAGGGUUUGGCCGAGGGG